GGGGCUGUGGCGGAACUGGCAGACGCACCAGAUUUAGGUUCUGGCACUCGCAAGGGUGUGUGGGUUCGACUCCCACCAGCCCCACCA
rnacentral:tRNA from 1 species